GACGUAGGGCGCGAGCGUUGUCCGGAUUUAUUGGGCGUAAAGAGCGUGUAGGCGGUCCGGUAAGUCCGCUGUGAAAGUCGGGGGCUCAACCCUCGAAUGCCGGUGGAUACUGUCGGGCUAGAGUGCGGAAGAGGCGAGUGGAAUUCCUGGUGUAGCGGUGAAAUGCGCAGAUAUCAGGAGGAACACCUAUUGCGAAGGCAGCUCGCUGGGACGUAACUGACGCUGGAGACGCGAAAGCGUGGGGAGCAAACAGG
rnacentral:rRNA from 1 species